GCCAGAAAACACGAGCGACCACGCCUCCCACCCCAUCUGGAUCCGCCGCCUCCACGCCGCCGGCUGGCGUCCUCCGCCACGCCAUCCACCGCCGUGCCGUCCUCCCCGCACCGCGGCCUGCCUCCUCUCCGCCGUGCCCUCCUCCUCGCGCCGUCCGAGUCCUCCGUGCGCGGUUCGCCGACGCAGAGGCCCAGGCCAGCCCGCUCCGGGCCCGCGCCGCCGACCGCGACGGGCUGCUCAGCACGCUCCUCGCCGCCACGGGCAACGACCGGGAGGAGGAGGAGGACGCGCGGGAGGCGGGGUAGCGUCAGAAUCAGCGCACGUCGGAUCCGGCAUGCUGCUCCUCUCCCUUCCCAAGUCGCCCUGGAUCUCGCGAUGCUGGAGGUGGCCGCCGUCGUUGCUAUGGAGGGCUCGCCACCCGCCUCCGGAGUCCCACGUCCCCGAGAUCAACGGGAUUGCCAAGCCGAGGUCAUCAUUUCUUGACGGGCUCCUCCAUCACUUCUGGUUUCCCACAGUGGCUAUGGGCUGCCUCUCCCUCUCGAUCCUGCGCUCCUCCUCCUCCGGUUCAGGUUUCAGGCCGUGGCUGAGGGUCGCCUCUCCAUAUCCAUCCUUCCAAUCUGGAGCACAGGUGGAGAGCCUGGCUGUGUGCGGCGGAGAUGGCGCCCCGCAUCUGCGCCCUAUAAGCCCGGACAGAGCUCCGCCGAGGCCAUGACCUCCGUAGGUAUCGAUCUAAAAAAGGCCGCCAACCCAAUGGAAUCUCUCCCUGUCUCUUUCUUCUGCAUCUUCCUCAUACUAUCCACUGGAAUCUUAGUUUUUGUAGUUAGUAGCAGAGACUCAAUUGCUGCAUUUUUUGCCUGUACAUCUUCAUAUAGGAUUCGAUAGCCAUGCCCUGGAGAGAGACAGCUCACAAAUUAGUCCAGUUAACAAGACGCAAUUGAACCGAAAAUCUUACGAGAUGGCUUGCAAAUCCAGGUAUCAAACAGAAUUUUGGUAAUAUAUAUUAUGUAUACGGUACUUGGAAGGGAUGCUUACCAGGUAAAUACCACUUAAAAUCUAGGUCCAGUAACUAUCCAGUUGCAGAUUCACUGCAAGUUUGUGCGACAGAUAUUCAUAUAUAUAGAUCAACUAGGAUUUAGGUUUAACUCUAUGGUACAAUUGAAAGACUAGGGAGAAGAGGGUGGAUUGUACUACCUGAUUGCUUGCUGUACAUCCGAAAGAGAUUCAGUUGCUCUGAAUAUUCUUAUUUGCCACAUGGUCGCCAGUGUGAAUAGCGCCUUUAGCGAUUUGUACAACAAACAGACCAAGCUCUACAUAAAAUGAUUUUGUUUUCAUGAGUGAAUCUUUUAAUGACGUCAUUACCAUCCAGCCAUCUUGCCUUUCCAACGAACAACAUACAAGCUUUGUUCUCUGAAGUUUAAGAAUAGUGCAACCAUCUUGCCUUCCAAAGAAUGACAUAUAUAAUUUUAACCUUAAUAGUGCAGCCAGCUAGAUGUAGUGCACUUAUCUCUAAGCGCAGCUCCUCUUUAAUCCAUAAACUUAUCCGUAACCAAAGGCUAGACGUAUAUUCAAUGUAAUUCUAUUCAUUGAGUUGAGUUUCUUACUUCGGUAUGGCCUGGGGUAUAGUAAGUUCCAUUUUCAAUGUUCCAGGGACCACUUCCAGUAAGUUUGCACUCGACAUCAGCAGUAAUGUCCACUACCUGUAUCAGCAUGGUUAUCGCAGUAGAUAAUCAGGGCAAAUAUCAUAAGCAAAUUACAACUUUAGAAUCUCUGAAUUCUAAUAGAUUUCUAAUAUCCUUCAAAAGAUGAUGUGUGAGCGCUCUUUAGAUAUUCCAGUAAGUUCCUUUCUACAGGUGUUCUUACAUCUCCUGAAUGGAUGAUUCUCUUUGCAUUUCGGCCGCUCGGCCCACUUCCAAUGAUCCACUACAUCAUCACUGUUUGGUAACUGGUUAGAUACUCUUCAAUCUCCUUAUAGAAAGGUCCACAAAUGCACAAUCAAUAGAUACAUAUAGAACUAUGUAAGUCUGAACAUACAUGUGGGUCAAAACAUGGUGCGCUCCACCAAGCUUCUCAAUCUUGUCCACCAGUUUCGGCGUAUACCUUGGACUGAAAUAUUAAGAGGUUAUCAGAACAACUACAGCGAAUAUAAUCACUCUUUUCAGACCAAAUAAGGAAUCAAUCUUAUGAUGGUUGAUACUUGAUGCAGCGGAGGAUCACAGGUGUACUGCCAGCAGUUUCAAUUUAACCGGGUGGUUGCCAUCAUCGUGAGACUACCAACUGGAGGAGCUGAAACGGCUCUUUAUUCCAGCCGUAUCCGAUGCCCCGAGCCGGAACUUUCAGGCCACCUACAGCACACGGUGCUCGCGGCGCGCCGUUGGCGCCGGCGUCGGCGGGGACACGGGAAGGUGCUCGUUGCCGCGCUCCCGGAACCCCUCAAGCAGCUCAUGCUCGUUCGGCCUUGCAGGAUGGCGUUGUAGCACUAUCGUUGGAUGUGAAUCGCAUCAAAAUCGGAAUUAGUCUGCGCGCUAAUGUGGCGUGUUUCCGCCUUUGCUACACUGUGAUUGACUGAUGGUUAGAUCGUUGAUGCUGCAGUCUGAGGUCUCGGGGGUGUGUCUUGUGCUUAAUUUUUGACGCCACGAGCUCCUGGUGAGUUUGCUCCCCUGAGUCAUUAUAGAGGGAGUGAGAUGGUCAGAAGGGAGAAGAACAAAAAACCUUGCUGCCGGAGAUGACAUCUCCACCAUUUUGUGUGUGUUGGAGUGAUUGAACCAUGGCAAUCAGAGCUGGCAUAUAUAUUCCAUUCUGUACACCAAGAGAUUAUGUUAUUUUCCUUUUACUGAAGCAAUUAUGAUUGAGUAGUACAUUGUUAUCAUUCUCAACAACUUCAUUCAUGACACCUUUGAUACUCAUGUAUGAGAAAGAACUUUCAGUGAUUGAGUUACUUUAUUUGACUUUGUGUUGUUCAGGAGGGGAGGCCGCAAGGCGGGAAAGCCAGCAGCGGAAUUCUUUUCGGGGAUGCGUGGAUCUGGUGAUGCUGGAGCAGGGGAACAGGAAACAUCACAUCCGCAACGGCGUUUCAAAUAGCCAAUUUACCUUUCUCCCUAAAGGUUUCUUGCUCUGCUGUCAGUAUCACUGGUCUUGGGGUUUAGAUUUUGUCAAUAUCAAAAUCUGGGUACUUACCAGCAAACGAGUUGUUGAUCUAUUUACUUAGUCAAGUUCAUUUCUGCUAUGUUCUUCAGUCAAGCUUCAGCUUCUAGCCUUGAUUAAAUGGCAAUGAUAUUCUCCAAAACCUACUAAUGUCAGAAAUCCUGCUACCCAACAGGAUGGUCUGCCAAGUGAUAGGGAACAUAGUCUGAUGGGACAGCUCCUGAAUCAAUGUCACAUAAGGAAACAACUUACUUGGAGGAGUUGAAGGAGUUGAGAUGAGUUGAUCACAUCCUCAUGUGUCUUUGCAUGUUGCAACAGGGGCAGUGUACUUUUUUUUAUAGCAAAACAUUCCUACUUUAGAUAGAAGAACUUAUGGGGCACAUCAGAUGUACUGACCACUCCUUAGUCCGAAGGACGGGAGUAACAAUUUUUCUCAAGUUCUGCUGUUGUAUUGUACUAGAAGUCUGUUCAUCAAACUGCCUUAUCAACCAUCUGCUAUUAACCCUCAAACAUCUAACAUUUUUUUUUUUGACAUC